GCCAAACUAAUCUCCAUCCACUUAAUUGAGAAUGCUGUCCUGAACUUUGACAAUCAAGGUUCCAGUAAUUAUGUUGUUUCAAUUUUCCAUGACUUUUCUAUUUUCUAACAAUUAUUAGUACCAUAUCAGGGAUUAGAAGUGAAAUGAAGAUAUACUGCAUUCACAUUUCACUCGUGACAAUCCUCUAGGUGUCUUUAUCUGUUUGAUUGACAAUUUAGCCAGAAAAUGAUAG
rnacentral:misc_RNA from 1 species